CCUACGGGAUGCAGCAGUGGGGAAUAUCGCACAAUGGGCGCAAGCCUGAUGCAGCCAUGCCGCGUGUAUGAAGAAGGCCUUCGGGUUGUAAAGUACUUUCAGCGGGGAGGAAGGUGUUGAGGUUAAUAACCUCAGCAAUUGACGUUACCCGCAGAAGAAGCACCGGCUAACUCCGUGCCAGCAGCCGCGGUAGUACGGAGGGUGCAAGCGUUAAUCGGAAUUACUGGGCGUAAAGCGCACGCAGGCGGUCUGUCAAGUCGGAUGUGAAAUCCCCGGGCUCAACCUGGGAACUGCAUUCGAAACUGGCAGGCUAGAGUCUUGUAGAGGGGGGUAGAAUUCCAGGUGUAGCGGUGAAAUGCGUAGAGAUCUGGAGGAAUACCGGUGGCGAAGGCGGCCCCCUGGAUAAAGACUGACGCUCAGGUGCGAAAGCGUGGGGAGCAAACAGGAUUAGAUACCCGCGUAGUC
rnacentral:rRNA from 1 species